rnacentral:rRNA from 1 species
GUUUGAUCCUGGCUCAGGACGAACGCUGGCGGCGUGCCUAACACAUGCAAGUCGAACGGGGUAGCAAUACCCAGUGGCGAACGGGUGCGUAACACGUGAGGAACAUGCCCUUCGGCGGGGGAUAGCCGGCCCAACGGCCGGGUAAUACCGCGUACGACCUUCGGGUGGCAUCACCUGGGGGUGAAAGCAGCAAUGCGCCGAUGGAGUGCCUCGCGGCCUAUCAGCUAGUUGGUGAGGUAACGGCUCACCAAGGCGACGACGGGUAGCUGGUCUGAGAGGAUGAUCAGCCACAUUGGGACUGAGACACGGCCCAGACUCCUACGGGAGGCAGCAGUGGGGAAUCUUGCGCAAUGGCCGAAAGGCUGACGCAGCGACGCCGCGUGUGGGAUGAAGGUCUUCGGAUUGUAAACCACUGUCGGGAGGGACGAAGCUCUGACGGUACCUCCAAAGGAAGCACCGGCUAACUCUGUGCCAGCAGCCGCGGUAAUACAGAGGGUGCGAGCGUUGUCCGGAAUCACUGGGCGUAAAGGGCGCGUAGGCGGCCUGGUAAGUCGGGGGUGAAACGCUGCGGCUCAACCGCAGCACUGCCUCCGAGACUGUCAGGCUUGAGCACGGUAGAGGCUGGUGGAAUUCCCGGUGUAGCGGUGGAAUGCGUAGAGAUCGGGAAGAACAUCGGUGGCGAAGGCGGCCAGCUGGGCCGUUGCUGACGCUGAGGCGCGACAGCGUGGGGAGCAAACAGGAUUAGAUACCCUGGUAGUCCGCGCCGUAAACGAUGGGUACUAGGCGUCGGGGGGGAGCGACCCUCUCGGUGCCGUCGCUAACGCAGUAAGUACCCCGCCUGGGGAGUACGGUCGCAAGACUGAAACUCAAAGGAAUUGAC